GACCGACCACGUCUGUUUCCUCGUUCCCCUUUCUUCCUCGUGCGACUGCUUUGUCUCGAUUCCUUCUCUGCUUCGUCCUCUCGAUUCCUCUUCCUUCCUCUCGAUUCUUCGCCGUGGUCUUGAUUCCUUCCUCCUUCGUGCAUCUCGGGGCGCUAGGUGCUCUGGUUCUUCAUCUUCUCUCCCCUUCCUGCAAAUCUCUGGGAUGGAAGUUAGGGUUAGCUGAUUUGUUCUCUGUUGUUGGUAGACGGUGUUUUGGCAACCAAAUUCUGAGGAAUAACACUUCAAUUUUGUGAUAAUUGGUCGAGGUUCGUCAGAUCUGGUGUUCCCCGUUUGGUUUUUAUUCCAAAUUCCUAGGUUCCUCAACUGUAUUCAACUUUCUUUUUCUGUUUGUGUUUGCAGGUUCGGUUGAGAUCUAACAUAUCAUAGUUCUUCUACAGAUUUGUAGGUAAAUCAUUACAGCAAGUACUUGUCAACUAUUUUCUAUUCUGGUGCUUGACAAUUUUGUUCCUAACCCUUUUUGUGAAUAUGCUUUAAGAUGUUGUCGAUACUUCUACAGAAGUGAACGAGCAUGUCCCUUCAAUUGUGUAGAUGCUCUGAAUUUUCCAUGUAUAUACUUAUGGACCGGCAAUAGUUGUGAAGAUACUGCUGUAGUUUUCUUCUAGCUACUACUGUAAAUGAAUCUCGCUUAGUUUUUCUGGUAAAUGCUCAUAGAUAUAGGAGGUGUUCUUCUCUUGAAAAUCUUAAGUAACCUAGUGUUCAUUUCAACAUUAUUUCGUUUCCAUGCAAAUCAUAUCAUUUUCUAGUUCAUAAAUAGUCAUUACCACUUUUAAUAUGAUUAUCUUCAUGAUACAUUCUACUCUGGUUUUGAAUGUUCAGUUAAUUAAUUUGAAUCACCUCCUAGUUUGUUUGGUAGCUUAAUUAGCAUCCACCUUUCUAAUCAGCAAGUUUUGUGAUGUUAAUUUAACUACGUGUGUACACUGUUUAGCUAACAGUAACUACUUGCUUCCCUAGAAAAAACACCAGCUAGUUGGUUGAUCUGAUUUGCCUGCAUUAUUACUGUACUGAAUUCUUCAUAGACCUUGUUACAUUUGAUACAAAUUAUUUCUGCACUUAGUCGAGUAUUUUUUCCUGUUCAACGAUUUUAGGAAAUCAUUCCUCAAUCUCGGUAGAUUGUUUUCAGAAAGGAAAGGAGUAGUGACAAGUAGUUGAUUACAUUGAUGUGUACUUCCAUUUUUGUCUCAUCAAUGUAUACGUCAGAAAGCAUUCAGUUGUAUAGUUCAUAUAACAGAAUUUAUACCUUGUGGGCAUGUGCUCUAAAUGAUUGCAUUUCUGCUUUUCUUGUUGUUUUCAUGUGUAUCUCACACCACAAUAUUGCAUCAGAAAUAGAGAAGUUGUUUUGAACCAUAUAUUCAUGAUGUUCCUGUUUUGUUUGCUGUCUUCGGGUACUAUAUUCGAAUCACUAUCUAUUUUAUCACGAAUAGAUUGUUGAUUCAGCUUCUAAUAUUAAUUUCGUGCAAAACUGAAUUAAGCAUGAAUAUAACAUUUUUCAAUCCAAGUUUUUCUAAAAAAAUUGAAAAAAAAUCUGAAUCCUAUAGCAAAACUACAGUCACAUAAACUAAUUUCAUUUCAAAAACAAAGCUCUGGUCCAUGAGCAAAAUAACAAAACUAGCACAUUAACCCAGUAGUAGAAGAUGAAACUUUCAAGAAGUGGCGAUUAUUUUUUUACUACUUCUUGGUAUUCUUUUUGAAGGGGAGCCUUGGCGCAGUGGUAAAGCUGCUGCCUUGUGACCAUGAGGUCACGGGUUCAAGUCCUGAAAACAACCUCUUACAGUAAUGUAGGGAAAGGCUG
rnacentral:lncRNA from 1 species